rnacentral:lncRNA from 1 species
AUGCAGUGCUAUGGGAAAAAUAACAGGAGUCUGAAAAGACCGUAUUAUAUCCAGUCCUGCACUAUAAGUGGUUACAUUAUAAGUAGUCUAUACUGUACAGCAAAGCAUUG